rnacentral:rRNA from 1 species
CUUAAAUUGAAGAGUUUGAUCAUGGCUCAGAUUGAACGCUGGCGGCAGGCCUAACACAUGCAAGUCGAGCGGCAGCGACAUG